CCAAUAGCGUAUAUUAAAGUUGUUGCAGUUAAAAAGCUCGUAGUUGAAUUUCGGGAUCAGUACGCUGGUCGUGCCUUCGGUAUGAACUGGUGUCACUGGUUCCUCCCUUCUGAAGAACUGUUAUGCCAUUCAGUUGGUGUGGCGGGGAAUCAGGACUGUUACUUUGAAAAAAUUAGAGUGUUUAAAGCAGGCUCGCGCUUGAAUACAUUAGCAUGGAAUAAUGAAAUAGGACGUUUGAUCCUAUUUUGUUGGUUUCUAGGAUCGACGUAAUGAUUAAUAGGGAUAGUUGGGGGCAUUAGUAUUCAAUUGUCAGAGGUGAAAUUCUUGGAUUUAUUGAAGACUAACUACUGCGAAAGCAUUUGCCAAGGAUGUUUUCAUUAAUCAAGAACGAAAGUUAGGGGAUCGAAGACGAUCAGAUACCGUCGUAGUCUUAACCAUAAACUAUGCCGACUAGGGAUCGGAUGAUGUUAAUUUUUUAAUGACUCA
rnacentral:rRNA from 1 species